ACACGUGAGCAACCUACCCUGGAGUGGGGGACAACUCUUCGAAAGGAGGGCUAAUACCGCAUGUAGAUCUUCGGAUCAAAGGUGGCUUCGGCUACCGCUCCUGGAUGGGCUCGCGGCCUAUCAGCUUGUUGGUGAGGUAACGGCUCACCAAGGCUAUGACGGGUAGCUGGUCUGAGAGGACGAUCAGCCUCACUGGAACUGAGACACGGUCCAGACACCUACGGGUGGCAGCAGUCGAGAAUCAUUCACAAUGGGCGAAAGCCUGAUGGUGCAACGCCGCGUGGAGGAUGACGGCCCUAGGGUUGUAAACUCCUGUCAUCUGGGAGUAAUCCUUGUUUGUUAAUAGCGUGCAAGGUUGAUAGUACCA
rnacentral:rRNA from 1 species